UUCACACGUCAUACAAUGGUCGGUACAGAGGGUUGCCAAGCCGCGAGGUGGAGCCAAUCCCUUAAAGACCGAUCGUAGUCCGGAUCGUAGUCUGCAACUCGACUACGUGAAGUCGGAAUCGCUAGUAAUCGCGGAUCAGCAUGCCGCGGUGAAUACGUUCCCGGGUCUU
rnacentral:rRNA from 1 species